rnacentral:rRNA from 1 species
CCAAUAGCGUAUAUUAAAGUUGUUGCAGUUAAAAAGCUCGUAGUUGAAUUUCGGGAUUGACACAUCGGUCGUGCCUUAAGGGGUAUGAACUGGUGUAGUCAAUUUCUCACCUUCUGGAGAACCGCAAUGCCCUUAAUUGGGUGUCGCGGGGAACCAGGACCUUUACUUUGAAAAAAUUAGAGUGUUUAAAGCAGGCAUUUUGCUUGAAUACAUUAGCAUGGAAUAAUAAAAUAGGACGGCAUGAUUCUAUUUUGUUGGUUUCUAGGAUCACCGUAAUGAUUAAUAGGGAUAGUUGGGGGCAUUAGUAUUCAAUUGUCAGAGGUGAAAUUCUUGGAUUUAUUGAAGACUAACUACUGCGAAAGCAUUUGCCAAGGAUGUUUUCAUUAAUCAAGAACGAAAGUUAGGGGAUCGAAGACGAUCAGAUACCGUCGUAGUCUUAACCAUAAACUAUGCCGACUAGGAAUCAGACGAUGUUAAUUUUUUAAUGACUCGUUUGGCACCUUAC